UACAGAGGUCCCAAGCGUUGUUCGGAUUCACUGGGCGUAAAGGGUGCGUAGGUGGUGAGGUAAGUCGGAUGUGAAAUCUCCGAGCUCAACUCGGAAAUGGCAUUGGAAACUACCUUGCUCGAGGGUUGGAGGGGGGACUGGAAUGCUUGGUGUAGCAGUGAAAUGCGUAGAUAUCAAGCGGAACACCGGUGGCGAAGGCGGUCUGCUGGGGUGAGGCUGACGCUGAUGCGCGACAGCGUGGGGAGCAAACAGG
rnacentral:rRNA from 1 species